GGCACUUCCAGCAGGCAUCUAUAUGAAGCAGGAUGGACCACUCAUAUCACUGCAAGUUACAGGUUUUUUACACGUAGAGUUGUCUGUUCAGUCCUGACCAGACCUGUGCUCCAACCCACAGAGGACAGUGCUUUCUGUGAAACUGUUCUUGGAUAUAAAAUUUGGUUGCAGAAUCCCUUUUAUUCCUGAUGCAGAAGAUGGAAAGAACACAACUUAAUUUUAACAUCCCAAGCAGAGUUUGAAGGGCUGUUCCCAGGUAUGAAAUGCUUCCUGAUGAGCUGUGUCCAGUCACCCCAGGAGACCCCAGUCCCCUUCUGGAUAUCCUUGUGCCCCCACACAGCAUGAAAACAUGGGGAGGAAUUUGUUCACUACUUCCCAGUGUUGGAAUACAGUAGGAAAAGACACCACCUUUGUCCUUGAGCAUUCGAAUAUCUGUGGCUUUGAGCUAAGAAUUAUGUUUCCAUUUCUAUUGCUAUUUUUACUAGAACUGAGUAAACUCAAGCAGCACAGUGCCUUCAAAAUGACAUUGAGCUCCGAGGGAGAUCCUCUCUUAUUGCUUUGUUCCAGUGACACCUGUAAAUGGGAUCCAGAAGUAAUGUUAAGUAAUCCAUGCUUGCAUGAGGAUACACUGUAUGAGAACCAAGAAAAUAGAAGUCUUUAUAAUUAACAAAUUGCAGAAGCAUUAAGAACAGUUAGACAGCAAGACAGACUACAAAACUAUUGGAAACUUGCAGUGCUUAAUCCGUAAAUAAAAGCAGAUUGCCAUAAACCACUUCUGAGACCAAUUCAGCCCACCAAGACCAUGCAAGUGUACUGGACAUACUUCUGUUCACAAAAAAUAGUAUUUAAAACUAAGCAUAUUGCUUCAAAUGAAACUGGCUGAAAACACCUUUUUUGUGUGUGUAAAAAGGGGGUACGAAAAAUGAUAGAAACUGGAAACUCUGCAAGACAGAUAUCUAAGCCCAGGUGCCAUGUAAAAAAGGACAAGUUAUGGUCAUCCUCAGCAUCUAGGAAUGGGCAGCUUUGAGCCAGCCAAGCCCUUACCUACAGAGGGCACAUGGAACCUCUGCAUGGAAUUAGCCAGAGUUUGAGGGAAAUGCCUUCUUUGCUCCUGUUUCCCUGGGCUGUGCUGGUUAGAUAAAGCGAAAUGUCAACCUGCUGGCAGUUCAGCAGUGUUCAACUGGCUGCUUUUUCUGGUUUAAAUUAGGAACUGGAUGGCUCUUUAAAAUGGUUCAAGUUUCCUGAAGGCAGAUGUCUAAGAGUCACUCUGCAUGCAGAAAGCCCAGCCUCUCCUAAUCCAUCCUUUCUGCCUGGAACAACAGACUGACUGUAGAGAGCAGUUUCUCCUAUUUCUUUUCCUGAUACCGGCUGUGGAUCUCCCUUUAGCAGAAAACCAUUUCAAUGUGAUUGAAAUGGCAGCCUGUACUGAAAGGCUUAAUGUGUUAUUUUUGGAGUUGUGGUUACGACCUUGUCUGUCCUUACCUGUGAAUGUGUCCCUGUGCUACUCGAAUGUAUGCAGACAGAAGAUGUUUAGUGUUUAGGAGUGUGAUAAGCUGGCAUCCCUUAGUGCAUACAUUCACUGGAAGGUACAGCAGAGUCUAUAGGAACAGGCAGGAGCGGCAAUGUCGAGUUAAGAAGCAAAGACAGAGCGAGGCAGUGCUGAGAAGGUGAAGUGUUUAUCUGCCGAUUUUAGUUUCCAGUGUAUUUAAUACUUUAUAAUGUCAGUUGCUUGGAAACCAGUGUUUUGUGCCCUUUUGCUGCAUGGCAGAAAUCACUCUAAUUGGCAUGUUUCUAGCACUGUCACUGCUGGCAGUUUGCAGCUUUUUUUUUUUUUUUUUUCUCCAGAAGCAAAAUUUUUCUUUUACAUGAAUGAUGGCUCACAUUAAUUAGACAGCAGUCAUGGGGAAAGACAGCCAUUUAAGUGUAUGGAUGUAUGAACCAUUAACUCUAUCAUCAAUCACUGGGACGACUGCUAUUCCUAUCAGCAUUUCUGCCUUUCCAGAGGCUGUUCCUUUGAAUCUCAAUACCUUUCCUUUUAGGCAGAAAUAUUUGUUUAUAUUUGGGAUUUCUUAAGUGGAAAUAGUUCAGCCUUAUUAGAUUUUACUACUUAUCUAAACACAGCAGUGUAAUCCCACAUUUCUGGUACCCCAGUGACACAUUGUCACUGGAUGUUUGAACAGUGCUGACAUGUAAAAUAAGGUUUCAUUAUCAGCAGUAAAUUAUCAUUGCUCUGUAAAUACCUUAAUGUAGUAAAGCAGGACAUUAAGUCAUGAGAACUGUUUUCUACUUUCACAUGAAUAUCUUGAAGCAGCAUUAUUUCCUGAUGGAGGAUCAGGGUCCUCACUGAAAUCCUGCUUAAUAAGCAGUGAGUGUUUAUUGGUAAUCAAACAUAAAGUCAUUAUUGUACAUUCUUACAAUAGCAAAUGGAAACCCCAGAAAUCUCCGGAGGGGGUGUUGGGUUUUUUUGGUUGGUUGGUUGAUUGGUUGGUUUUUUUCUUUUGAAGUUUUGAUAAUAGCUUACCCACAGCUUUUUGGAAAAAAAAUUAAAGCAAAGCUCUGAAAUCUCAUGGGGCAAUUUUUCUGCCCUUCACCAGUAUAAAACUGACUUUUUGGUGCUGCUCUGGAAGUACUUUGCCCACUCACCUUUCUUUAUGUACUUCUGAGACAGGUUUCUGUAAUUCCUAGCAGCCAAACGUGUUUGGGCUUGUCAGUAUUAGAGAACCUCCUCAUUUUCCACCAAGGGGUUCUGUUUCAUUUCACAACGGAUGCAGCAUCUGUGUUUUAACAUCUUUGUAGUUAAUUGAAAACCACUCUGAGACACUUUAAAUAUGCAGUACUACGUGAAUGCAUCUACCUGUGACAUCUCCUAUCACAGUGUGGGUGGUGUUUUGACUGUUGAAGAUCUUUAUUUCCUGCCACACAACCUUCUGUGAAUGUACCACAAAUUUGCCCGUGUCUUACUUGAACUUGUUUCUGACUUAUUUCCUGGUCAGAUUUCCAUGGAUAAUGUGCCUCUUUCCCAUUAUGCAAAUCCUGGGUUUUUUUCUAAGCAGACAUUUGAGUACAGAAUGUUGUACUCAUCUGCAGGAGAAUAAAAUGGGAAUCAACAUCCGAAACAAUGUGGGUAUUCCAGAUUGUGUGUCUUCAACUGCUCCAGACAGAUGUUGAUGUGGUGCUACUUGAGUUCCUUGGCAGAAUCAUCAGUGGUUCAGCAUGGAAAAUGAUCACAGAUGUGUGAUCUUCUGUGUGUUGGUACCUACAUUUAAUAGAUUUUUAACGUUAUCAUCUGGUCUUCACCAAAUUAAAGAAAAGUGGGUGGAUGAAUGUUUACUCAUUUGGUUCUUAGUGUGUAAUUAUUCAGGCAUUGAAUGGGAGCAGUCACCACUGUGUUCCUGAUUCCUUGUGUGGGCAUCUCUAACUUGGCUGUGAACACUACCAAACCAGAAUUUAUAAUUAAUUUGUGUUAAUAUCUACAUUUGAACUGUGAGUAGUUGCAAGCUUUUUCUGUGCACAUGAGCUUUCAGAGUAUGACCCAAAUGUAGAGCUCAAUAGUAAGACUUGCUGGCUCAGACUCACCACCACAUAAAUUCAACUUCAGGGCUUUUGAUAAUUUCAGAAAUAAAUUUCAGGAUAAUGUGUGCGCUCUGUAAUAAUUCACUGAAUAAUUCUUAAGUGAACAAUGCCCUAAUUCUCAUUUACAAUGAGACUGCCUUACAUUGCUCAGGAAAGGUGAUAGAACAGUCCUAAUAUAAAUAAAUUUGGGACAUACUGGCAUGGAUAUAAAUUACAGUGCUGAAUGUAAGGCCCUGCAGUACCGAGUGAAAUGGUCAGCAGCUCCACUAUUUGCUGAUAAGAGAAUGGAACACUGGUGUAAAUCAGUAUCACUGUUGACAGUGUACAAGAAAUGCAGGGUUUGCUCUCCUAUUGUUCUGUGUGUGCUCUGUAAAUAAGAGAAGCACUGUGUACCUAUGGAUUUUCUUUUAUCUUGGCAAUUCCUGCAGUAUCACAAUUAUUUGCUACUUAGCUGUUACAGCACCUUGUCAGCAAGUUAAGGGACAUGGAAGAAUUGUUUUAGCCAUUAAAAUGCAGCAACAGCUCCAGUGGAGUCUCAUGUGUUCUAAAGCAGAUACAUUCAACAUAUUUUGGGGGACUGGAAGGAUUUUUUUUUAAAAAGUGUCCUAUUAAAAGUGAAACAGCAGUUAGGGCAGUGAUGUGUAAUCAAUUGAAAUCUGAUUAAUGCAGUGUAAACAUUUGUGCUCAUGCAGAGAAUUGCCAUAACAUCCUGAAUCCUUCAGCUUGUCAGAACUUCCAUUUUAUUAUAUGUUCAAAAAAACAGACCCUCCCGUACCAUGGUGCCCAAAAACUACAGAAGAGUGUAGAUUUCAAGUCUAAUCCAAAUGAAGUCAGCUUCCUGCUCUCCCUUUUUCCUUCACUGGAUAUUGCUUCAAAUUCUUCAGGGUCCAGAUGCUCACUGUCCUCAUUUGAGAUUUGUGAUGGGAUCACAGCUCAUGAUGGCACGGCUGCAAAUAAUGCAGAGUGCUCAUUUAGAAGGUUUGCAGUGGGUUUUAAUACAGUUUUAGUCUGCUCAAGAAACAGUUCAGCUGUAUUUGCUGUAGUUUCAAAGUUGUUGCCUCCUGCACUUUCUGCUUUAUAAAAAAAUGGAUUGUUGUACUACAUUUUCUGCCACAGAAAAUACUUACUGGCAAUAGAUGCAGUGUGAAUUAAAUUGCACUUGUUUUUCACCUGGGAGGCCUUAGCUCCUCUCCAGUUUGCCACUUCCACAGCAAGUCAGGUUCCUCCCUACACGCUCGGCAAGGUCUGGCCUGGUGCCCAAAGAGGAGCUUUUAUGGGUCUAGCAGGGAAUUGCUGCAGAUGCACAUUGAAAUGCUUUUAUGAAAAUAAAGGAAAUGGCCCUUAGCCUGUGCUCACAGUGGCUUUCAGAGCAGUGACACACAGGUUUCAUUUAUACUUACAAUUGGCUGUAAGCCUCUGGAAAAGGCUGGAUUCUUUCCAACGGUGUCUGGAGCAGAAGAUGUUCUGUCAUUAGCUUUGUUGAUAUAAAGGCUGAUUCCAUUAAGGUAAAAUUUGAAUAAGCCAUUUUAUGAAAUGGUGGCUAACAAUUUCCAUGAUCAGAUAAAUACCUACGUAUACUUUGCUUGAUAGCUACCUAAUUACUUUAUUUACUGCUUAAAAUAUUUGUGCACCAGGAAUCUUCAGCCUUAGAGAGAGAAUCAAGCUGGU